rnacentral:rRNA from 1 species
CAUGGAGGGUGAGAAUCCCGUUCGGUUGAUCAGACUUCUUUACGAUACGCUUUCAAAGAGUCAAGUUGUUUGGGAAUGCAGCUUAAAAUGGGAGGUAAAUUUCUCCUAAGGCUAAAUAGCGGCGAGAGACCGAUAGCGAACAAGUACCGUGAGGGAAAGAUGAAAAGAACUUUGAAAAGAGAGUUAAAUAGUACGUGAAAUUGUUGAAAGGGAAACGAUUGAAGCCAGUCGUACCUUCGGGUAAUCAGCCUUUCGGGUGCGAUUCUGUGGAGUUUGAGGAGCUUAACACCUUCAUGCUUUGCAUAUUCGUGCUCUUGGGUGUACUUGCUCGUAUGGUUGGUUAACAUCAAUUUUGGUGGUCAUAAAAUGGUUGGAGGAAUGUAGCUUCGAUCUCGUAUUGAAGUGUUAUAGCCUUGGGCAGAUGUGAUGAUUGGGAUUGAGGAUUGCAACGAACCCUUCGGGGCUACCUGUCUGAUCUCUGAGAGUUGCUCUGGUGCUGAAAGCUUGCUUAUGGUAUCAAAGUUGACGUUCAAUAGGUUAGAACGGGAUAAAUUCGUUAAGGAUGUUGACGUAAUGG